rnacentral:rRNA from 1 species
GUCCACGCCCUAAACGAUGUCAACUAGGUGUUGGGGAAGGAGACUUCUUUAGUACCGCAGCUAACGCGUGAAGUUGACCGCCUGGGGAGUACGGUCGCAAGAUUAAAACUCAAAGGAAUUGACGGGGACCCGCACAAGCGGUGGAUUAUGUGGAUUAAUUCGAUGCAACGCGAAAACCUUACCUACCCUUGACAUGCCAGAAAGUUUCCAGAGAUGGAUUCGUGCCCGAAAGGGAAUCUGGACACAGGUGCUGCAUGGCUGUCGU